rnacentral:rRNA from 1 species
AUGGAGCUCCGCGGCGGCUCCAUCGCAGCCCGGGCGGCGCUCCAUUGCAGCUCCCGCGGCGCGACAAAAGCUUCCAGGGCAACAUCGACGCGAGCAGCCGAGCCUCCUCCUUGUGUGCUGCGUUGCAUCACCGGCGGCGAGCGGCGCCCGACUCCGGCCUUCGUGCUGCGUUGCAACAGAGCCGCGCGAGCAGCUCAACCUCUCCUCCCGUGUGCUGCGUUGCAGCGCCGGCGAACGCCGCGUCGAAGCACCGGCGUCAACGAGCGUCGCAUAGCAACACCGGCAGCACCGUCGAGUCGCAGCGUGGGCAGCAAUCAAGUCAACAACGAGGCUGUGUUGCAGCGCCGGCUGUUUCGUCAAAAAAAAUCACCGCGUCACAACGCUGUGGAUCUUGAACAACAGCAUGUGAAGCUUGAGAAGCAGACCAUGGUGGUCGCACUUGGACGGAGCCAUAGCGAUACACGUGCGAAGACGAAGGGGAUCGACUGGUUUUUUAGGAGAUAA